rnacentral:rRNA from 1 species
AGCGAACGCUGGCGGCAGGCCUAACACAUGCAAGUCGAACGAAGUCUUCGGACUUAGUGGCGGACGGGUGAGUAACACGUGGGAACGUGCCUUAAGGUUCGGAAUAACUCAGGGACGCUUGUGCUAAUACCGAAUGUGCCCUCAGGGGGAAAGAUUUAUCGCCUUUAGAGCGGCCCGCAUCUGAUUAGCUAGUUGGAGGGGUAAUGGCCCACCAGGGCUACGUCCAGUAGCUGGUCUGAGAGGAUGACCAGCCACAUUGGGACUGAGACACGGCCCAAACUCCUACGGGAGGCAGCAGUGGGGGAUCUUGCGCAAUGGGCGAAAGCCUGACGCAGCCAUGCCGCGUGGAUGAUGAAGGUCUUAGGAUUGUAAAAUCCUUUCACCGGUGAAGAUAAUGACUGUAGCCGGAGAAGAAGCCCCGGCUAACUUCGUGCCAGCAGCCGCGGUAAGAC